CACCCUCCCCUCACCCUACCGUUUAAAACCUUUCCCUGAAAACCACUGAGUAAUUCAGGUCUUUUGGGCACUAGCUACAUGAACUUCUCGCCUGGCCUCUGCAGUGCACACGGAACUUUAUUUCAGUGCAACCUGGUGUCAGUAGAUUGCCCUUAUUGCCUACGGGCCAGGGGACCCAAGUUUGAUUCAGUAACAGUAACUGCAUAUUGUAGGACAAAGCAAAUGGGUAAAUUAUAGUGGAAUUACUGAGAAGAUGAUGCUUCAGCAUGAGAGAAAGAUGAAGGACUCUCCAUUCACUGAAAGAGAAACCAAUUCAGUACCAACAGUCCCCUCUAAUAUCAAGAUUGUGGCCUGCACAGUUGGGACAAAUCAUGUACAACAAGAUACAGGAAGAACAGAAAACCCACCAGCUGCCCCUUUUGAGGAGCCAGGAACACCACCAAAGCGCUGGGCAAACCACCUAAGCCACUUCUCCAGCCCAGUCGGACCCACGGGACUGCCUCUACCCUCACCGCAUUUAAGAGUUCACCUCCUCCCCGCUCAGGGAGCAAGGAAGGGAAACUGUUACUUGCUUUCCCUCCUUUGUGCUGCAACAUGAGUCCCAGCAAAGCCCUGCCUGAAUUCUUGGUCUGGCCUCUUAUCAAUUUCUUUUGAUUAAAGAGUCUAAGAAUCCUGGUUGCUAACAGAUUGAAACACAUCCACCAUGUAAAAACACAUGAGUAUAUACUGUUACCUUAGCAACGUGGAAGGUUUCACAGUAACAACCUCUGUGAAACUGCCGGAUGCUAUGGAACCAGUUAGUUCACCAUAUAUUUGAAGACAAUAAGGAAUUACUGUUCACUGAUUUUUUAAAAAAUUUCUUAAUAUCUUCAUAUAUAUAGUCAAUAUUCAAAUGUUCUUGAUUGUUUCAUGAUUUUUUUUUAAACUUACUCUAAAUAAAGAUUGAAAUAAAG
ensembl:lncRNA